GGCGGCUGAGCAGACAAGCCUCUCGGGCUGGUGAGCGCUGCUCGUUGCCGAGCCUCCGUGCGGGAAUCUCUCCGCUUUGCCCUCCGCACCUCUGUGGCUGCGCUCUCCUCCGUGGCUCCGAAGCUCCCGCCUCUGCCACCCGCAGUCUCUGCCCGCGAAGGGGCUUCCUAGUGUGUGGACACCUUUCCUCCUUCACGGCUCCCUCCCACUGGUGCAGGACACUACAGACAGAGUUUCGGGAAUCCUGACCCUGGAUGUCAUCCAUGAUACCGUAACUACAUUUAGAUUUCGUGUCUCCCUGGACUCCUCUUGGCCGUGACAGUUCCAUCUGACUUCUGCAGGAGCCAUAGAGAAGAGCAUCUCCCAUCUAGAGUCACUGCCCCAGGAGGAUGAGAGGAAUAUGGAGUCAAACUGGUCCCAGCUUCUGAAGCCUGAAACAGAGUGGCCUGCAGACCUGCAGUGAGAAGCAUACCUGCCAGGCUAAGCUCAUCCCAGAUCA